AUUGAACGCUGGCGGCAUGCUUUACACAUGCAAGUCGAACGGUAACAGGUCUUCGGAUGCUGACGAGUGGCGAACGGGUGAGUAAUGUAUCGGAACGUGCCCAGUAGUGGGGGAUAACUACUCGAAAGAGUGGCUAAUACCGCAUGAGAACUGAGGUUGAAAGCGGGGGGACCUUCGGGCCUCGCGCUACUGGAGCGGCCGAUAUCAGAUUAGGUAGUUGGUGGGGUAAAGGCCUACCAAGCCGACGAUCUGUAGCUGGUCUGAGAGGACGACCAGCCACACUGGGACUGAGACACGGCCCAGACUCCUACGGGAGGCAGCAGUGGGGAAUUUUGGACAAUGGGCGCAAGCCUGAUCCAGCAAUGCCGCGUGCAGGAAGAAGGGCCUUCGGGUUGUAAACUGCUUUGUACGGAACGAAAAGGGCUCUGGUUAAUACCCUGGGCUCAUGACGGUACCGUAAGAUAAGCACCGGCUAACUACGUG
rnacentral:rRNA from 1 species